rnacentral:rRNA from 1 species
UACGUAGGGUGCAAGCGUUAAUCGGAAUUACUGGGCGUAAAGCGUGCGCAGGCGGUUCGCUAAGACCGAUGUGAAAUCUCUGGGCUCAACCCAGAGUCUGCAUUAGAAACUGUCGGGCUUGAGUAUGGGAGAGGUGAGUGGAAUUUCCGGUGUAGCGGUGAAAUGCGUAGAUAUCGGAAGGAACACCUGUGGCGAAAGCGGCUCACUGGACCAUAACUGACGCUGAGGCGCGAAAGCCAGGGGAGCGAACGGG